UACGAAGGGGGCUAGCGUUGCUCGGAAUCACUGGCGUAAAGGGUGCGUAGGCGGGUCUUUUAAGUCAGGGGUGAAAUCCUGGAGCUCAACUCCAGAACUGCCUUUGAUACUGAGGAUCUUGAGUUCGGGAGAGGUGAGUGGAACUGCGAGUGUAGAGGUGAAAUUCGUAGAUAUUCGCAAGAACACCAGUGGCGAAGGCGGCUCACUGGCCCGAUACUGACGCUGAGGCACGAAAGCGUGGGGAGCAAACAGG
rnacentral:rRNA from 1 species